GAUGAAGAACGUAGCGAAACGCGAUAGUUAAUGUGAAUUGCAGAAUACAGUGAAUCAUCGAGUCUUUGAACGCACAUUGCGCCCCUUGGUAUUCCGAUGGGCAUGUCUGUUUGAGCGUCAUUACAACCCUUCGGUUCAACUUUGCUGUUGAAACGGUUUUGAGCCCUUUGGAGCUUCACUGCUCCGGCUUUAAAGUUGUACGCUCUGCGGGUGACUUAUGCCAGACCGAACAUAGUAAAAUCUUUGCUGUUCCGGUUCUCUUGGUUAAGGAUCACUUCGCCUGAACAAAAAUCUACUUCUUAGGUUUGACCUCAGAUCAGACAAGGAUACCCGCUGAACUUAAGCAUAUCAAUAAGCGAAGGA
rnacentral:misc_RNA from 1 species